rnacentral:rRNA from 1 species
AAAUUGAAGAGUUUGAUCAUGGCUCAGAUUGAACGCUGGCGGCAGGCCUAACACAUGCAAGUCGAACGGUAACAGGAAGAAGCUUGCUUCUUUGCUGACGAGUGGCGGACGGGUGAGUAAUGUCUGGGAAACUGCCUGAUGGAGGGGGAUAACUACUGGAAACGGUAGCUAAUACCGCAUAACGUCGCAAGACCAAAGAGGGGGACUUUCGGGCCUCUUGCCAUCGGAUGUGCCCAGAUGGGAUUAGCUAGUAGGUGGGGUAACGGCUCACCUAGGCAACGAUCCCUAGCUGGUCUGAGAGGAUGACCAGCCACACUGGAACUGAGACACGGUCCAGACUCCUACGGGAGGCAGCAGUGGGGAAUAUUGCACAAUGGGCGCAAGCCUGAUGCAGCCAUGCCGCGU